CCAAUAGCGUAUAUUAAAGUUGUUGCAGUUAAAAAGCUCGUAGUUGAAUUUCGGGAUUGGCGCAUCGGUCGUGCCUCACGGGGUAUGAACUGGUGCAGUCAGUUUCUCACCUUCUGGAGAACCGCGAUGUCCUUAAUUGGGUGCCGCGGGGAACCAGGACCUUUACUUUGAAAAAAUUAGAGUGUUUAAAGCAGGCAUUUUUGCUUGAAUACAUUAGCAUGGAAUAAUAAAAUAGUACGGCAUGGUUUUAUUUUGUUGGUUUCUAGGACCACCGUAAUGAUUAAUAGGGAUAGUUGGGGGAAUUAGUAUUCAAUUGUCAGAGGUGAAAUUCUUGGAUUUAUUGAAGACUAACUACUGCGAAAGCAUUUGCCAAGGAUGUUUUCAUUAAUCAAGAACGAAAGUUAGGGGAUCGAAGACGAUCAGAUACCGUCGUAGUCUUAACCAUAAACUAUGCCGACUAGGAAUCAGACGAUGUUAAUUUUUUAAUGACUCGUUUGGCACCUUACG
rnacentral:rRNA from 1 species